AACGAACGCUGGCGGCGUGCCUAAUACAUGCAAGUCGAACGAGAAAGUGGACUUCCGGUCGAUGAGUAAAGUGGCAGACGGGUGAGUAACACAUAGGUAACCUACCCUUAAGAUGGGGACAACCUUCCGAAAGGAGGGCUAAUACCGAAUGAGACCACGGUGACUUCGGUCACAGGGGUUAAAGAUGGCCUCUAGUUUAUAAGCUAUCACUUAGGGAUGGACCUAUGCACCAUCAGCUAGNGGUAAGGUAACGGCUUACCAAGGCUUUGACGGUUAGCUGAUCUGAGAGGUUGAUCAGCCACACUGGAACUGAGACACGGUCCAGACUCCGUAC
rnacentral:rRNA from 1 species